AAUCAACGCUGGCGGCGCGCUUAACACAUGCAAGUCGCACGAGAAAGGGGGCAACCCUGAGUACAGUGGCGUACGGGUGAGUAACACGUGGAUCAUCCACCUUUUAGUGGGGAAUACCCCUGGGAAACCGGGGACAAUACCGCAUAAGCCCGCAAGGGGAAAGCAGCAAUGCGCUGAAAGAGGGGUCCGCGGCUGAUUAGCUAGUUGGCGGGGUAAUGGCCCACCAAGGCGAAGAUCGGUAGCCGGCCUGAGAGGGCACACGGCCACACUGGCACUGAAAUACGGGCCAGACUCCUACGGGAGGCAGCAGUGGGGAAUCUUGCACAUUGGAGGCAACUCUGAUGCAGCGACGCCGCGUGAGCGAUGAAGCCCUUCGGGGUGUAAAGCUCUUUCGACGGGAACGAUAAUGACGGUACCCGGAGAAGAAGCUGCGGCUAACUACGUGCCAGCCGCCGCAGUAA
rnacentral:rRNA from 1 species